GUCUGCAAACUCCGGCCAGCGGGAGCCGACCGCCCGGCGCAGGUGGGGCACCCGGGCGCCGCGCUCCCGCCCGCAGGGUGAGCGGAACUGGAGAGA